GGAACUGCCACUCUGGACUGUUUUGGUCUCUGCUCCUACAGGCAGGCCUGAUGUUAGUCAUCAAUGGGAAAAGCAUUUGACACAGCUGAGUGCAUUUGUCUUCUCCAACAUGCAAACUAGAGACCAGCUAUUUUCUGCUCAGCAUGGAAAGGAAACCGGAGAACUGAGACAGCAACACCCACGUCUGUGAAGCUCCAGGGCAAAUGACUCAUGCUGUUUGCAAGUGCCUAUCCCACUGAGCCUGGCAGUAUCAGUGUGGCUGAAGGUUUCUACUAAAACCUGGGCAGGGAUUUUCUCCUCAUCAAGCUGAGCUCACCAACAUACUGCAGAAACAAAUCGGUAUGUUGUACUUACAUGAAAAUCCAUGCAUUUGCAAUAGUCCAGCACCAAAUCAGUAGAGGAAAAUG